UGGGGAAUAUUGCGCAAUGGGGGCAACCCUGACGCAGCGACGUCAUGUGAAGGAUGAAGGCUCUAGGGUUGUAAACUUCUGUCUAGAGGGAAGAAUCAAUCGACGGUACCUCUAAAGAAAGCACCGGCUAACUCCGUGCCAGCAGCCGCGGUAAUACGGAGGGUGCAAGCAUUAUUCGGAAUUACUAGGUGUAAAGGGCGUGUAGGCGGUUUAAUAAGUUAGAUGUGAAAUCUCACAGCUCAACUGUGAUCCUGCAUCUAAAACUGUUAGACUUGAGUAUGAAAGGGGAAAAUGGAAUUUCUAGUGUAGCGGUGGAAUGUGUAGAUACUAGAAGGAACACCGAUGGCGAAAGCGAUUUUCUGGUUCAAUACUGACGCUAAGACGCGAAAGCUAGGGGAGCAAACAGG
rnacentral:rRNA from 1 species